UACAGAGGUCCCAAGCGUUGUUCGGAUUCACUGGGCGUAAAGGGUGCGUAGGUGGUGAGGUAAGUCGGAUGUGAAAGCUCGGAGCUCAACUCCGAAAUGGCAUUGGAAACUACCUUGCUCGAGGGAUGGAGGGGGGACUGGAAUUCUCGGUGUAGCAGUGAAAUGCGUAGAUAUCGAGAGGAACACCAGUGGCGAAGGCGAGUCCCUGGACAGCUCCUGACACUGAGGCACGAAAGCUAGGGGAGCAAACAGG
rnacentral:rRNA from 1 species